GUCCAUUGGAUCUUAGUUCCCUGAUCAGGGAUCGAACCCAGGCCCUCUGCAGUGGAUGUGCCAAGUCCUAACCACUGGACCGUCAGGGAAGACCCUAUAUCCCCUUAUUUCCUCAGCAAUGACAUUCACACUGCUGCUGGGCUCUGCUCAGUCAAGUCCAACUCUCUGUGACCCCAUGGACCCACCAGGCCUCUCUGUCCACGGGAGUUCCCAGGCAAGAGCUCUGGAGCGGGUUGCCGUUCCUUCUCCAAGGAGCUUCCUGACCCAGGGAUCGAAUCCAGGCCUCUCUUGUCUCCUGCACAGGCAGGUGGGUGUUUUUUUUUUUUUCUUUAACCGCUGUGCCAUCUGGGAAGCCCAGGGACAUUCGAACUCCCUCAUUCUCCUCUAUUGCUCUUCCCUCUGCCUUCAUGACUAUCAUUCAUAGACUUCUUAAAUUAAAGCCUUCUUUUACUCAUCUGCCCUCGUAUAUUUUUUAGAAUAUGUGCCUUACCUUCAAACUGAUGAAAGUUUUUAAGAACAUCCCAGGUCUUACUUUGUGUAUCUUUGAACAAUGAAUAUUUGGAAAUGUCUGGAUGAGCAUUGUUAUAAAGGAAGGGCCACUUCACAAACUUGAAAACAGGCUCUGGAGAAAUAUCUUCUAAGAAUCAGAAUGCACCCUUUUCAAAUAUAAAUGGUUAUAUCAGCAGUAAAUGGCAGAUGUUUUUCAGUAAAGUGGGUAUCUGAGAGACAACUAUUUCAACUUUGUAAGGGAAGAAAAAACCUGUGAUUAAUUAAUGCAUUGCUGCAAAAACAAAUUUUAUUAAUUUAAAAGGGGAAGGUGAAGAAAAAUAACCAUUCUUCCUUGGAAAUGAAAUUAUGUUAUCCUAAUAUGUCAAGAUGCUUAGAUUUUUAAACUAAGAUUUUUAAACAUAUUCAAAUGAUAGGUAUGUUUCUAUUUUUCUCUAGUGAGUUCUAUUUUGCAUGCAUCUGAAAAUAUUUUGUUAAUAUUAUCACCUUUAUUUUACCAAUAAAAUAUUUUUCACUUCCUUUAUUUUAGGUUUAAGCAAUGAUUAAGCUCUGUUCUGUAUUAUGCUAACAAAAUUGAAAUGAGUGAGUGAAAUCAGUUGCAGAAAAGCAAGUUUACUUAAUAAUUCAUACUCCAGGAAAGAGGGACCAUAUGGGUGUGGGUGGGAGUCUGUUGGAGCACAGGCUUUACAUGGGGAUUAGAAUAGAGGGGUCUCCCAAACAUACUGUCUACAAGAGACCCCCUUCAGUCCAACAGACACAUACAGACGGAAAGUGAGGCAAAAGGAAAUNNNNNNNNNNNNNNNNNNNNNNNAAUCAUAUCAGACAAAACAGACUUAAAAAUAAAGACCAUGGUAAACGUCAGGGAAGAACACUGCAUAAUGAUCAAGGGACCAACCCAAGAAGAGGAUAUGACAGCUGUGAACUUUCAUGCACCCAGCACAGGAGCGCCCCAGUCCACGAGGCAGAUGCUAACAGCCACGAGAGCGGAAAUCGAGAGUUAACACAGUGAUGGCGGGCUCUUUAACGCCCCACUUACACUAAUGGACAGAUCAUCCAGACAGAAAAUUAAUAAGGAAACACAAGAACCUUAAAUGACACAUUAGACUAGAUGGACUUAAUUGAUAUUUACAGGACAUUCCAUUCGAAAGUGUUCAGGGCUCUCUAGGUGGAAAUGAAUUCCCACAGCGGGAGAGGUGAUAAUAAAUACACUUGUAAUAAGAGGAUAUGAUUUUCCUUUUUUUUUUUUAGCAUGAACCUAGGAAGGUAAUUUUUUCAAAGCACCUCAUUUUUUUUUAAGCUAUGCAUUUUAGUAUUUAAUGUGCUUUUCNNNNNNNNNNNNNNNNNNNNNNNNNNNNNNNNNNNNNNNAAAGAUAUUUUGUUGAAGGGACUAGAGGGUGAAAGUUUUAGAAAUAAAAGUUUAAUUAAUCACAUUUGUACCUGUUCAUCUGCAUACGAGUGCCAGGAAUUAGCAGCCCAGUUCUUUGACAUAAACUGGGUUAAUCCAAAGUAUAACGAGCAGGUACCUUUAGGGGAUUUCCCCCUGUGUGUUGAUACACACGUGACAUUUUUCUGCACUAAAGUUUUCAAAGUUGGCUAAAUUACAAGCAUGUCUAGUGAUGAGCGCCGCAUUUUUCUGUGGAUAGAUGAUUAGCCUGCUGGAAUCCACUAAAAAGCCCUAUUAUUGGGAGCGACUUAUAAAGACCAGCAGAGGUGGCACCCCCUCGGGGAUUCAGAUCUAAAGCACCAAUGCAAUCUUACCUUAUCAGGUCAGGACUAGCAAAAGCUGUAUCUAAGCUUAAAAAUACCUUUAAUACUACAAAAGCAUGCGUGUGCUCUAAGCUCAUAUUUAAAGAAAACUUCUGCAAUAAAUUGUCCUAAGUGUAAAGAGAUUAAGGUCCAGGUGAUGGAGAUGUGAGUUCAAACUCAACAAAUCUAAAAUACGAGACUUGUUCUCUUGAUAAAAGAACCAUAGUACUGGGCAAGCUUCAUACUUCACUUAUUUUGGAAAAUAUACAUUCGAUGUAGAGAGUUUAGAUUUUAUCUUUCAGGGAAAUACACAGUAUGUUAACUUCAACAAAAACCAAUGACAUCCAUGGGCUGCAUAGGUUCAAAAGGACCCAGAAGACCUGAGUUUUUGCUCUAGUGUCUAUCAGCUAUGAAAUCUUAAUCAAAUGAUUUAACGUCUCAAAGCUCUAUUCCACCAGAGAAAAUGGACGGCUGCCAACUCCCCAGUAGAUCUCAGGGUGUUUGGGUGAGGAUUUGGUUAGCUGAGGGAGGGCAGGAUCCGUCACAGUUAAAAGGACUUUGGUACCAGGGAGACCUGAGUUUGAUUUUUGACUUGGCUGAUUUUUUAAAAAACAACUUUUUAUUUUAUAUUUGAGUAUAUUACUGAGUGCACUGAACUGAACUGGUAGCCAGUUAACAACGUUGCGAUGGUUUCAGGUGCAAGGCAAAGCAACUCAGCCAUACAUGUGCACGUAUCCGUUUUCCCCCAGACUCCCCUCCCAUCCAGGAUGCCACGUAACGUUGAGCAGAGUUCCCUNNNNNNNNNNNNNNNNNNNNNNNNNNNNNNNNNNNNNNNNNNNNNNNNNNNNNNNNNNNNNNNNNNNNNNNNNNNNNNNNNNNNNNNNNNNNNNNNNNNCUCCCAUCCAGGAUGCCACGUAACGUUGAGCAGAGUUCCCUGCUCUCUUUGCUACGUUUUAAUUGAAGGACUUUGAACACUUAACCUCUCAAAAUUUCAGUUUCAUCUUCUGUGAAACAGGUAUGAAAGGGUGGAGCCGGACUGACUGGUUAUCUGUCUAUCACCCGUGUGUACGUCUGUGCUCAGCUGCUUGGUCAUGUCUGACUCUGUGUGACCCCAGGACGGUAGCUCACCAGGAUCCUCUGUCUAUGGAGUUUUCCAGGCAGGAAUACUGGAUUGGGUGUCCAUUCCCUUCUUCUGGGCAUCUUCCCAACCCAGGGAUUCAACCCAUGUGCCUUGCGUCUCCUGCCUUGGUAAUCAGAUUCUGUACCACUUCACCACCUGGGAAGCCCAACUAUCUUCCCACUACUGAUUUAUUUACCAAGCAAUCACCGCAUUGGGAGUUCUGGUAAAUAUUAAUAAGGUAAAAUGUUGUGAAGAGUAGUAUUCCACACAAGGGUGCCCUAUUAUUAAUAGAAGUAGUUUGAGGAAGACUGCCUUUUUAAAAUGAGCCCUUCAAAGUAUCAGCUUUACACCUACAG
ensembl:lncRNA